GUGGGGAAUAUUGCACAAUGGGCGCAAGCCUGAUGCAGCAACGCCGCGUGAAUGAUGAAGGCCUUCGGGUCGUAAAGUUCUGUCCUAUGGGAAGAAGAAGUGACGGUACCAUAGGAGGAAGCCCCGGCUAACUACGUGCCAGCAGCCGCGGUAAUACGUAGGGGGCAAGCGUUAUCCGGAAUCAUUGGGCGUAAAGGGUGCGUAGGCGGCUGAGCAAGCCAGAGGUAAAAGGCAAUAGCUUAACUAUUGUAAGCCUUUGGAACUGCUUAGCUUGAGUGCAGGAGAGGAAAGUGGAAUUCCUAGUGUAGCGGUGAAAUGCGUAGAUAUUAGGAGGAACACCAGUGGCGAAGGCGACUUUCUGGACUGUAACUGACGCUGAGGCACGAAAGCGUGGGGAGCGAACAGGAUUAGAAACCCGAGUAGUCC
rnacentral:rRNA from 1 species